rnacentral:rRNA from 1 species
GACGAACGCUGGCGGCGUGCUUAACACAUGCAAGUCGAACGGAAAGGCCUGCUUUCCCUUGUGGAUUGCGGGUACUCGAGUGGCGAACGGGUGAGUAACACGUGAGUGAUCUGCCCCCAACUUGGGUAUAAGCCUGGGAAACUGGGUCUAAUUCCCGAUAGGACUGCAGGGUGGUGCCUGUGGUGGAAAACGAUUUUCUAGUGGUUGGGGAUGAGCUCGCGGCCUAUCAGCUUGUUGGUGGGGUAAUGGCCUACCAAGGCGGCGACGGGUAGCCGGCCUGAGAGGGUGGACGGCCACAUUGGGACUGAGAUACGGCCCAGACUCCUACGGGAGGCAGCAGGGGGGAAUAUUGCACAAUGGGCGGAAGCCUGAUGCAGCGACGCAGCGUGGGGGAUGACGGCCUUCGGGUGGUAAGCUCCUUUCGACCGCGAGGAAGCCACCUGGUUGGAAGGGUGGUGACGGUAGUGGUAGAAGAAGCACCGGCUAACUACGUG